rnacentral:rRNA from 1 species
AUUGAACGCUGGCGGCAGGCCUAACACAUGCAAGUCGAGCGGAGCGGCGGAGGGGGGAGUAUGGCCUAGGAAUCUGCCUGGUAGCGGGGGAUAACGACCGGAAACGGGCGCGAAUAUCGCAUACUAUCAGAUGAGGCUAGGGCGGAUUAGCUAGAUGGUGGGGUAAAGGCCUACCAAGGCGACGAUCCGUAACUGGUCUGAGAGGAUGAUCAGUCACACUGGAACUGAGACACGGUCCAGACUCCUACGUGAGGCAGCAGUGGGGAAUAUUGGACAAUGGGCGAAAGCCUGAUGCAGCCAUGCCGCGUGUGUGAAGAAGGUCUUCGGUUUGUAAAGCUCUUUCAGUUGGGAGGCGUUACCUACAGAAUAAGCACCGGCUAACUUCGUGCCAGCAGCCGCGGUAAUUC